UUAAGCGACUAAGCGUACACGGUGGAUGCCCUGGCAGUCAGAGGCGAUGAAGGACGUGCUAAUCUGCGAUAAGCGUCGGUGAGGUGAUAUGAACCGUUAUAACCGGCGAUUUCCGAAUGGGGAAACCCAGUGUGUUUCGACACACUAUCAUUAACUGAAUCCAUAGGUUAAUGAGGCGAACCGGGGGAACUGAAACAUCUAAGUACCCCGAGGAAAAGAAAUCAACCGAGAUUCCCCCAGUAGCGGCGAGCGAACGGGGAGGAGCCCAGAGCCUGAAUCAGUGUGUGUGUUAGUGGAAGCGUCUGGAAAGGCGCGCGAUACAGGGUGACAGCCCCGUACACAAAAAUGCACAUAUUGUGAGCUCGAUGAGUAGGGCGGGACACGUGGUAUCCUGUCUGAAUAUGGGGGGACCAUCCUCCAAGGCUAAAUACUCCUGACUGACCGAUAGUGAACCAGUACCGUGAGGGAAAGGCGAAAAGAACCCCGGCGAGGGGAGUGAAAAAGAACCUGAAACCGUGUACGUACAAGCAGUGGGAGCCUCUUUAUGGGGUGACUGCGUACCUUUUGUAUAAUGGGUCAGCGACUUAUAUUCUGUAGCAAGGUUAACCGAAUAGGGGAGCCGAAGGGAAACCGAGUCUUAACUGGGCGUUAAGUUGCAGGGUAUAGACCCGAAACCCGGUGAUCUAGCCAUGGGCAGGUUGAAGGUUGGGUAACACUAACUGGAGGACCGAACCGACUAAUGUUGAAAAAUUAGCGGAUGACUUGUGGCUGGGGGUGAAAGGCCAAUCAAACCGGGAGAUAGCUGGUUCUCCCCGAAAGCUAUUUAGGUAGCGCCUCGUGAAUUCAUCUCCGGGGGUAGAGCACUGUUUCGGCAAGGGGGUCAUCCCGACUUACCAACCCGAUGCAAACUGCGAAUACCGGAGAAUGUUAUCACGGGAGACACACGGCGGGUGCUAACGUCCGUCGUGAAGAGGGAAACAACCCAGACCGCCAGCUAAGGUCCCAAAGUCAUGGUUAAGUGGGAAACGAUGUGGGAAGGCCCAGACAGCCAGGAUGUUGGCUUAGAAGCAGCCAUCAUUUAAAGAAAGCGUAAUAGCUCACUGGUCGAGUCGGCCUGCGCGGAAGAUGUAACGGGGCUAAACCAUGCACCGAAGCUGCGGCAGCGACACUAUGUGUUGUUGGGUAGGGGAGCGUUCUGUAAGCCUGUGAAGGUGGCCUGUGAGGGUUGCUGGAGGUAUCAGAAGUGCGAAUGCUGACAUAAGUAACGAUAAAGCGGGUGAAAAGCCCGCUCGCCGGAAGACCAAGGGUUCCUGUCCAACGUUAAUCGGGGCAGGGUGAGUCGACCCCUAAGGCGAGGCCGAAAGGCGUAGUCGAUGGGAAACAGGUUAAUAUUCCUGUACUUGGUGUUACUGCGAAGGGGGGACGGAGAAGGCUAUGUUGGCCGGGCGACGGUUGUCCCGGUUUAAGCGUGUAGGCUGGUUUUCCAGGCAAAUCCGGAAAACCAAGGCUGAGGCGUGAUGACGAGGCACUACGGUGCUGAAGCGACAAAUGCCCUGCUUCCAGGAAAAGCCUCUAAGCAUCAGGUAACAUCAAAUCGUACCCCAAACCGACACAGGUGGUCAGGUAGAGAAUACCAAGGCGCUUGAGAGAACUCGGGUGAAGGAACUAGGCAAAAUGGUGCCGUAACUUCGGGAGAAGGCACGCUGAUAUGUAGGUGAAGCGACUUGCUCGUGGAGCUGAAAUCAGUCGAAGAUACCAGCUGGCUGCAACUGUUUAUUAAAAACACAGCACUGUGCAAACACGAAAGUGGACGUAUACGGUGUGACGCCUGCCCGGUGCCGGAAGGUUAAUUGAUGGGGUUAGCGGUAACGCGAAGCUCUUGAUCGAAGCCCCGGUAAACGGCGGCCGUAACUAUAACGGUCCUAAGGUAGCGAAAUUCCUUGUCGGGUAAGUUCCGACCUGCACGAAUGGCGUAAUGAUGGCCAGGCUGUCUCCACCCGAGACUCAGUGAAAUUGAACUCGCUGUGAAGAUGCAGUGUACCCGCGGCAAGACGGAAAGACCCCGUGAACCUUUACUAUAGCUUGACACUGAACAUUGAGCCUUGAUGUGUAGGAUAGGUGGGAGGCUUUGAAGUGUGGACGCCAGUCUGCAUGGAGCCGACCUUGAAAUACCACCCUUUAAUGUUUGAUGUUCUAACGUUGGCCCGUAAUCCGGGUUGCGGACAGUGUCUGGUGGGUAGUUUGACUGGGGCGGUCUCCUCCUAAAGAGUAACGGAGGAGCACGAAGGUUGGCUAAUCCUGGUCGGACAUCAGGAGGUUAGUGCAAUGGCAUAAGCCAGCUUGACUGCGAGCGUGACGGCGCGAGCAGGUGCGAAAGCAGGUCAUAGUGAUCCGGUGGUUCUGAAUGGAAGGGCCAUCGCUCAACGGAUAAAAGGUACUCCGGGGAUAACAGGCUGAUACCGCCCAAGAGUUCAUAUCGACGGCGGUGUUUGGCACCUCGAUGUCGGCUCAUCACAUCCUGGGGCUGAAGUAGGUCCCAAGGGUAUGGCUGUUCGCCAUUUAAAGUGGUACGCGAGCUGGGUUUAGAACGUCGUGAGACAGUUCGGUCCCUAUCUGCCGUGGGCGCUGGAGAACUGAGGGGGGCUGCUCCUAGUACGAGAGGACCGGAGUGGACGCAUCACUGGUGUUCGGGUUGUCAUGCCAAUGGCACUGCCCGGUAGCUAAAUGCGGAAGAGAUAAGUGCUGAAAGCAUCUAAGCACGAAACUUGCCCCGAGAUGAGUUCUCCCUGAGACUUUGAGACUCCUGAAGGAACGUUGAAGACGACGACGUUGAUAGGCCGGGUGUGUAAGCGCAGCGAUGCGUUGAGCUAACCGGUACUAAUGAACCGUGAGGCUUAACCUU
rnacentral:rRNA from 1 species